rnacentral:tmRNA from 1 species
GGGGCCGACUGGUUUUGACAGCGGGUCUUGUGGUAUGGUAAGCAUGUAGAGCGUUGGAUGAUAGCUCUUAAAUAUCAUUGUUCAGACUUUUUAAACGGCGAGAAUAACUACGCCCUAGCAGCAUAAUCUGAAUUAUAGUAGGAUAUGCCUCGGCCCGUAAGACGGGCAUGCAGGAAGUCACUCGAAGGCCUUGGUUUACGGCGUUCGAUUUCGUGGCUUCGUAAAAGUAAACCUAUUGGGAAUGGUGCCCAGACACUCCCGAGAAACUCAAGUUGGGAUAAGGAGUGCGUUGGUAGUUUUUGACCGGCAAUCUCUCGAAAAUCUAAACAAAAACUAAACAUGUAGAAAGCUGUAACGCAACGCGUUUGGACGAGGGUUCGAAUCCCUCCGGCUCCACUU